UCGUAUUCGCUACUAAGAGGUUGUGCCUAUUAUUUAUGUCCCAUACCACAGAGAUCUCAAAGUAUGGCAAGUCAAGAUUCAUGGAAAGAGCAAAGAGGUAAAUGUAGCAAACUGGAAGAGUUUCAUUAAAGAUAUGCACUGCAUGCAGAAUAUUGAACCAUUAUUGAAAAUAAAAUUGGACACGAGAUGCUUUGGACACAAUGAACUAGGGCAGACCCAGGCCUGGUGUGGGAUGAGUCCUGAGUUCCGAUCUCACUGGUGCUACUCCUAAGGGUUCUGAGUAUGUGGAUCAAAACCUUUCACUUCUUUGGGCUCCAAGGUUCCU